UACGUAGGGGGCAAGCGUUGUCCGGAAUUAUUGGGCGUAAAGAGCUCGUAGGUGGCGUGUCGCGUCUGCCGUGAAAGCCCAUGGCUUAACUGUGGGUCUGCGGUGGAUACGGGCAGGCUGGAGGCUGGUAGGGGCAAGCGGAAUUCCUGGUGUAGCGGUGAAAUGCGCAGAUAUCAGGAGGAACACCGGUGGCGAAGGCGGUUCUCUGGGCCUUACCUGACGCUGAGGAGCGAAAGCGUGGGGAGCGAACAGG
rnacentral:rRNA from 1 species